CCCGUAUAUAUAUAUAUUUUCUAUUGUUGUUCACACUCCCAUUGUUCUCUGUAAUGCCUCACGACCUUGAGAGUACCUUGAUAAAUAAAUAACUAAAUAAAU
rnacentral:lncRNA from 1 species